rnacentral:rRNA from 1 species
AUUGAACGCUGGCGGCAGGCCUAACACAUGCAAGUCGAGCGGAUGAGUGGAGCUUGCUCCAUGAUUCAGCGGCGGACGGGUGAGUAAUGCCUAGGAAUCUGCCCGGUAGUGGGGGACAACGUUUCGAAAGGAACGCUAAUACCGCAUACGUCCUACGGGAGAAAGUGGGGGAUCUUCGGACCUCACGCUAUCAGAUGAGCCUAGGUCGGAUUAGCUAGUUGGUGAGGUAAAGGCUCACCAAGGCGACGAUCCGUAACUGGUCUGAGAGGAUGGUCAGUCACACUGGAACUGAGACACGGUCCAGACUCCUACGGGAGGCAGCAGUGGGGAAUAUUGGACAAUGGGCGAAAGCCUGAUCCAGCCAUGCCGCGUGUGUGAAGAAGGUCUUCGGAUUGUAAAGCACUUUAAGUUGGGAGGAAGGGCAGUAAGCUAAUACCUUGCUGUUUUGACGUUACCAACAGAAUAAGCACCGGCUAACUUCGUGCCAGCCGCCGCAGUAAAAC